GUAGUCCAUGCCGUAAACGUUGGGAACUAGAUGUAGGGACCAUUCCACGGUUUCUGUGUCGCAGCUAACGCAUUAAGUUCCCCGCCUGGGGAGUACGGCCGCAAGGCUAAAACUCAAAGGAAUUGACGGGGGCCCGCACAAGCGGCGGAGCAUGCGGAUUAAUUCGAUGCAACGCGAAGAACCUUACCAAGGCUUGACAUAUACCGGAAAAGUGCAGAAAUGUACUCCCCGCAAGGUCGGUAUACAGGUGGUGCAUGGUUGUCGUCAGCUCGUGUCGUGAGAUGUUGGGUUAAGUCCCGCAACGAGCGCAACCCUCGUUCUAUGUUGCCAGCACGUAAUGGUGGGAACUC
rnacentral:rRNA from 1 species